CAAAAAAUAGUUUAAUAAAAAUAUUAGUUUUGGAGAUUAAAGAUAUAUAAUAAAUAUUUUUUUGA
rnacentral:tRNA from 1 species